rnacentral:tRNA from 1 species
GCUGGCGUGGCACAGUAGGUAGCGCACAUCAUUGGUAGUGAUGAGGUCACGGGUUCGAUUCCCGUCGCUAGCU